rnacentral:rRNA from 1 species
GGGGCUGCUCCUAGUACGAGAGGACCGGAGUGGACGAACCUCUGGUGUACCGGUUGUGACGCCAGUCGCAUCGCCGGGUAGCUAUGUUCGGAAGAGAUAACCGCUGAAAGCAUCUAAGCGGGAAACUCGCCUUAAGAUGAGAUAUCCCUGGAGGCUUGACCUCCUUGAAGGGUCGUUCGAGACCAGGACGUUGAUAGGUCGGGUGUGUAAGCGCAGUAAUGCGUUCAGCUAACCGAUACUAAUUGCCCGUAAGGCUUGAUCCU